rnacentral:hammerhead_ribozyme from 1 species
GUGUCGAUGAAGAGUCCCAGAGUAGGACGAAACGGUUGUCCAGCAC